rnacentral:rRNA from 1 species
UCUGGUGACCAUGGGUGGGGGGAAAUACACGUUCCCAUUCCGAACACGCUCGUCAAGCCCCCAAACGCCGAUGGUAGUGCCACCUCGCUGUGGUGUGAGAGUAGGUUGUUGCCAGGA